CCUGCAAGACCAGGAGGGUGAUCGAGAGCAGGCGUACUGCGAGCUGGAGCACGUCCUGGGGGAAGAGGACAGCCGCCCGCCGUGCGGAGUGGUGAACCGGCUGCUGGCUGAGGUGUCCCAGGACCUGACAGCAGCCCAGGGCGUGACGGACAGCGUGAGGACGGCUGCCAGCAAUGUCCUGGUGGCUCUGG